UACGGAGGGUGCAAGCGUUAUCCGGAUUUACUGGGUUUAAAGGGUGCGCAGGCGGAUAUGUAAGUCAGUGGUGAAAUCUCUAGGCUUAACCUGGAAAUUGCCGUUGAUACUAUAUAUCUUGAAUGCUGUGGAGGUAAGCGGAAUAUGUCAUGUAGCGGUGAAAUGCUUAGAUAUGACAUAGAACACCUAUUGCGAAGGCAGCUUACUACACAGAUAUUGACGCUCAUGCACGAAAGCGUGGGGAUCAAAC
rnacentral:rRNA from 1 species